rnacentral:rRNA from 1 species
GACGAACGCUGGCGGCGCGCCUAACACAUGCAAGUCGAGCGAUGAAAUUUUAACCGAUCUCUUCGGAGAGAAGAUAAAAUGGAUUAGCGGCGGACGGGUGAGUAACACGUGAGAAACCUGCCUUUCACAAGGGGAUAGCCUCGGGAAACCGGGAUUAAUACCCUAUGACACAUUUCCUUCGCAUGGAAGAAAUGUUAAAACUCCGGUGGUGAAAGAUGGUCUCGCGCCUGAUUAGCUAGUUGGUGGGGUAACGGCCCACCAAGGCCAUGAUCAGUAACCGGCCUGAGAGGGUGAACGGUCACAUUGGAACAGAGACACGGUCCAAACUCCUACGGGAGGCAGCAGUGGGGAAUAUUGCACAAUGGAGGAAACUCUGAUGCAGCGACGCCGCGUGAGCGAUGAAGGCUUUCGAGUCGUAAAGCUCUGUCCUAUGGGAAGAUAAUGACGGUACCAUAGGAGGAAGCCCCGGCUAACUACGUG